GGUGUGGCUCAGUAGUAGGGUACUUGCCUAGCAUGCAUGAGGCCCUGGGUUCAUUCCCCAGUACC
rnacentral:tRNA from 1 species